UAUUAUUAUUUUGGCAGAUUAGUGUAAUGAAUUUAGAAUUCAUAUAUGUAAUUUAUUUUACAAAUAAUA
rnacentral:tRNA from 1 species